rnacentral:tRNA from 2 species
GGGCUAUUAGCUCAGUUGGUUAGAGUACGCCCCUGAUAAGGGCGGGGUCAGGUGUUCAAAUCUCCUAUAGCCCA